rnacentral:rRNA from 1 species
CCUACGGGAGGCACAGUGGGGAAUUUUGGACAAUGGGCGAAAGCCUGAUCCAGCCAUGCCGCGUGCAGGAUGAAGGCCUUCGGGUUGUAAACUGCUUUUGUACGGAACGAAAAGGUCUUUUCUAAUAAAGAAGGCUCAUGACGGUACCGUAAGAAUAAGCACCGGCUAACUACGUGCCAGCAGCCGCGGUAAUACGUAGGGUGCGAGCGUUAAUCGGAAUUACUGGGCGUAAAGCGUGCGCAGGCGGUUAUAUAAGACAGUUGUGAAAUCCCCGGGCUCAACCUGGGAACUGCAUCUGUGACUGUAUAGCUAGAGUACGGUAGAGGGGGAUGGAAUUCCGCGUGUAGCAGUGAAAUGCGUAGAUAUGCGGAGGAACACCGAUGGCGAAGGCAAUCCCCUGGACCUGUACUGACGCUCAUGCACGAAAGCGUGGGGAGCAAACAGGAUUAGAUACCCUGGUAGUCCACGCCCUAAACGAUGUCAACUGGUUGUUGGGUCUUCACUGACUCAGUAACGAAGCUAACGCGUGAAGUUGACCGCCGUCGGGAGGUACGGCCGCGAGGUUAGAACGUACGAAUAGAAGUUAGACGGCGUGAGACGUAGACCGAACGGACGACGACGAGGGAGGAGG